UCGAUACUACCGAUUGAACGGUUUAGUGAGGCCUUCGGAUUGGACCAUUGGGAGCGCAAGCUCUCUUUGGACCGAAAAGUUGUACAAACUUGAUCGUUUAGAGGAAGUAA
rnacentral:rRNA from 1 species